rnacentral:tRNA from 1 species
CGGAUAGUAGUUCAGUUGGGAGAAACCCACUGCGGUAAUGGUAGCGGAGGGAGUCACAGGUUCGAGCCCUGUCUAUCCGA